rnacentral:rRNA from 1 species
UACGAAGGGGGCUAGCGUUGCUCGGAAUCACUGGGCGUAAAGCGCACGUAGGCGGACUCUUAAGUCGGUGGUGAAAGCCCGGGAGCUCAACUCCGGAGACGCUACCCAGACUGCGGUGCUGGAGGACGGCAGAGGGGGGGUGGAAUUCCCAGUGUAGCGGUGAAAUGCGUAGAUAUUGGGAGGAACACCGGUGGCGAAAGCGACCCCCUGGGUUAGUCCUGACGCUGAGGCACGAAAGCGUGGGGAGCAAACGGGG